AGAAUCCUUGGCAGACCGUUUAACCGUCCGCUUCUCUUGAGGGUCCUCGAGGAUCGAGAGUCUCCUUUGAGGGAUUCUAACAGGGCGAUCCAAAUCUAACACUUCCCAAGUCCCACAUCCCUCCAACUUUCGUCUCGCGGUGCCUUGCGGAACUGUGAUACGUAUUGAUUUAUGUGCUGUAUGAUUUAAGCACUCCUUCCUCUUCUGGCUUAUCCGAACGGGCUGCCCCGAUCUGAAGAAUUACAGAGGGAAAAGAUGAGGUCACUGAGGCGCAGAGAAGUUAAGCGACUCGCCCUAGGCCGCACGGCAGGUAAGCGGCGCAGCGGGAUUAGAACCCAGGUCCUCGGACUCCCAGGCCCGUGCCCUUUGCUCUAGGCUGCACCGCUUCUCAUUUCACCGUUGCAAACCUCCUGGAGAGCGCGUUCAGAGGAGGGGAAUCCGAAAUCAGCUUUGCUACCCGUCGGUGGUUGUGGUGAAAGGUUAGAGAGAGGUUGAAAUUUAUGGUUAAAAGGAGAUGCCUGGAUUAUCCGUGAAUUCCUGUUUUACAUUAGUGGGGGUGAGCAAGAGUUCAAAUCAUUUUGGGUAUUGGAUUUGGGAGGGGAUCUCUAUCUCUUUACGAUCUCAUCUUCCUGCCUCUUCAUUCGUUAGGGGCUGUUAUCUCCCAGGAAUACUAGGAAGGGCAAUACUGGGUCCUUAUCUCCAGUCAAAACUGUAUUUCCAUUCCUGGGUUCUUCACGGCCAAUUAAAACCCAAAUGGGGUGGCUGCGAUCAGUGCCGGUGGAAUCCUGAAAAGAGAAUUACUGCGACUCCCGCCUGAGCCCGGAAAGGACAGCUUGUUAUUCAGACUGCAGAGCGCAGUGUGACAAUUAGUACCAAAUUGCCAGCGGGGACCGCGUGAGCCUCUUUUCGCACUUGCAGUUAGCCGAGCAGAAAAUAAAGCACAUCGGGAAAGAGUCACUGAGAAAUGAAAAUCACAGGCGCGCCGAAGGAAGACUGUCGCAUACGUAACUGUUGAGUCGACUCUGU